UUCAAGAGUACGUGAAACCGUCCAGGGGUAAACCUGCGAAACUCGAAUGAACGAACGGAGAGAUUCAUCGUCAUUCCUCGGCGCACGUGCGUUGGUUCGAUGUCUUCGGCCUCGGUCGUUGGCACUGCUCGCGUACGUAGCGUCCGGGGACGGCGUGCACUUCUCUCUUAGUAAUACAUCGCGACCCUUUCGGUGUCGGUCUAAGUGCCGCUUGGGAGUCUUCGUUCUUACGAAUGUCGACCACGGUGGUCACCGACCGGCCGCCGGAAGGUAGAUUUGACGAAACGCGCACGCGCUUUGCGCGUCCGGCCCGACGCAAGGCAACGUCGUAUCCCACGUCCUGCCCGAGUGCGGACGAGGGUGCGGCGCGCCUGUCGUCGCAGCCGUGCUGUCUCGGACCGUGCGCGUAUCUGUCUGCGAUGAUUCAGUUUCGGGCACUCGCAGGACCCGUCU
rnacentral:rRNA from 1 species